CCCUUAGAUGUUCUGGGCCGCACGCGCGCUACACUGAUGCAUUCAACGAGUCUAAAACCUGCUCUGAUAGGGGUGGGUAAUCUUUUGAAUGUGCAUCGUGAUUGGGAUAGAUGAUUGCAAUUUUUCAUCUUCAACGAGGAAUGCCUAGUAAACGCAAGUCAUCAGCUUGCAUUGAUUACGUCCCUGCCCUUUGUACACACCGCCCGUCGCUCCUACCGAUUGAAUGAUCCGAUGAAUAUCAUGGAUUGAGGAUGCAAGCAGGUUCGCCUGUCUUCAUCUUCGAGAAGUGAAGUAAAUCUUAUCAUUUAGAGGAAGAAGAAGUCGUAACA
rnacentral:rRNA from 1 species